GACAGAGGGGGCGAGCGUUGUCCGGAGUCACUGGGCGUAAAGCGCGCGCAGGCGGCAACCUAAGUGUCGUUUGAAAGCCCCCGGCUCAACCGGGGGAGGCCAUGGCAAACUGGGUCGCUCGAGCUGCGGAGAGGCCCCUCGAAUUGCCGGUGUAGCGGUGAAAUGGGUAGAGAUCGGCAGGAAGACCAAGGGGGAAGCCAGGGGGCUGGCCGCAGGCUGACGCUGAGGCGCGACAGCGUGGGGAGCAAACCGG
rnacentral:rRNA from 1 species